CCUGGUGGCUCAGAAGGUAAAGCGUCUGCCUGCAAUGCGGGAGACCCAGGUUCGAUUCCUAGGUCAGGA
rnacentral:tRNA from 1 species